GACGAACGCUGGCGGCGUGCUUAACACAUGCAAGUCGAACGAUGAACCCGGAGCUUGCUCCGGUGGAUUAGUGGCGAACGGGUGAGUAACACGUGAGUAACCUGCCCUUGACUCUGGGAUAACUGCGGGAAACUGUAGCUAAUACCGGAUACGACCCUCGGCGGCAUCGCCAGGGGGUGGAAAGCUUUUGCGGUGUGGGAUGGGCCCGCGGCCUAUCAGCUUGUUGGUGGGGUGAUGGCCUACCAAGGCGACGACGGGUAGCCGGCCUGAGAGGGUGACCGGCCACACUGGGACUGAGAUACGGCCCAGACUCCUACGGGAGGCAGCAGUGGGGAAUAUUGCACAAUGGGCGCAAGCCUGAUGCAGCGACGCCGCGUGAGGGAUGACGGCCUUCGGGUUGUAAACCUCUUUCAGCACCGACGAAGCGCAAGUGACGGUAGGUGCAGAAGAAGGACCGGCCAACUACGUGCCAGCCGCCGCAGUAA
rnacentral:rRNA from 1 species